GCACUCGCGGCUGGGGCAGACCGCGGUCGCGUAGCUGACGUCAUCGCCGUGCGCUGCCACGUCUGCUCAGCUCCGCGGUAAUGGAGGCUAGGGAUGGGUGCUGAAGUAUCAGGCUCUGGCUCUAGCUUUAGCUCUGGCACUGGAACUGCCUCGGAGUCUGGGUCUGAGUCUGGCAGCCCGAAGCCUGGACACCUUUUCUUGAUUCUCUAGGCGGGGGCUGCCUGCGUCCAAGCAGCUGGUUUGCAGCGUUCCAACGCUGGGAGGGAGUUCCCUUACCUGGGGUCCAGUCUGUAAAGUUGUCGCCGCUUUCUAGGGAUCCCGCCCCACCGGCUGGGACUCUUCCAUGCAGUUGAAACUGGUUGACAACCAUUAACCUGGGUUGCAACUACAGGUGGCACUGGAAGCAGACUGGUUCCUGGACAUGCCCGGUGGAAGGAGGGGCCCUAGUCGGCAACAGCUAAGCCGUUCAGCUUUACCUUCUUUGCAGACUUUGGUUGGUGGAGGCUGUGGCAAUGGAACAGGCUUGAGAAACAGGAAUGGUAGUGCUAUUGGCCUUCCAGUCCCACCUAUCACAGCCUUAAUCACCCCAGGUCCUGUUCGUCAUUGCCAAAUUCCUGACUUGCCUGUGGAUGGGAGCCUACUCUUUGAAUUCCUUUUUUUCAUCUACCUGUUGGUUGCUCUUUUCAUUCAGUACAUCAACAUUUAUAAAACAGUGUGGUGGUAUCCUUACAAUCAUCCUGCUUCUUGUACAUCACUGAAUUUUCAUCUCAUUGAUUAUCAUCUGGCAGCAUUCAUCACAGUGAUGCUUGCGAGGAGGCUUGUAUGGGCUCUCAUCUCAGAGGCUACUAAGGCAGGUGCAGCAUCAAUGAUUCACUACAUGGUUCUGAUAUCAGCUCGCUUGGUACUACUCACUUUGUGUGGAUGGGUACUUUGUUGGACCCUCGUCAAUCUCUUUCGAAGCCAUUCAGUCCUCAAUCUCCUUUUCCUUGGCUACCCGUUUGGUGUUUAUGUUCCUCUUUGCUGUUUUCAUCAAGAUAGUAGAGCUCAUCUUCUUCUCACAGACUACAACUAUGUGGUUCAGCAUGAGGCAGUGGAGGAAAGUGCCUCGACUGUGGGAGGCUUGGCCAAAUCCAAAGACUUUCUCUCCUUGUUGCUGGAGUCGCUAAAAGAACAGUUUAAUAAUGCCACACCCAUCCCCACCCACAGUUGUCCCCUAUCUCCAGACCUCAUUCGCAAUGAAGUAGAAUGUCUGAAAGCAGAUUUCAACCACAGAAUCAAGGAGGUUCUCUUCAACUCCCUCUUCAGUGCCUACUAUGUUGCAUUUCUCCCCCUGUGUUUUGUGAAGAGUACCCAGUACUAUGACAUGCGCUGGUCAUGUGAGCACCUCAUUAUGGUGUGGAUCAAUGCUUUUGUCAUGCUCACCACGCAACUGUUGCCAUCCAAAUACUGUGAUUUGCUACAUAAAUCAGCUGCUCACCUGGGCAAGUGGCAGAAGUUGGAACAUGGGUCCUACAGCAAUGCUCCACAGCACAUAUUAGCACAGGCCUUCAAGCCCAGGAACUGAAAGAGAUUGGGCCAGGCUGAAAAGAAACCCGACUGUGGGCAAAGGACAGAUUUCAAUAAAAAUUGAAAAUACAAUCCACAGUACUAGUACUGUACAUCUUCAGGCUACUGAUGGCACAUGGCCAUGAGGUGUAUCAUCACUUUAAUGCUGUUGGUCAGAAAAUACAAUAUGGCCUCAAGGGGUGCUGGUGCGGCACAGCAGAUGUUUAUAUAGAGCCAUGGGGCCUUACAACGUGGCAGUGCCUUCAGAUGUAUCUCAUGCCCGCUUUUAUUUCUUAUUUCAUCGACCAUUAAGGCUGUUAAAUCUGCUCAUCCUUAUUGAGGGCAGUGUCGUCUUCUAUCAGCUCUAUUCCUUGCUGCGGUCGGAGAAGUGGAACCACACACUUUCCAUGGCUCUCAUCCUCUUCUGCAACUACUAUGUUUUAUUUAAACUUCUCCGGGACAGAAUAGUAUUAGGCAGGGCAUACUCCUACCCACUCAACAGUUAUGAACUCAAGGCAAACUAAGCUGCCUCUCAACAAUGAGGGAGAACUCAGAUAAAAAUAUUUUCAUACGUUCUAUUUUUUUCUUGUGAUUUUUAUAAAUAUUUAAGAUAUUUUAUAUUUUGUAUACUAUUAUGUUUUGAAAGUCGGGAAGGGUAAGGGAUAUUAAAUGUAUCCGUAAACAAGGUGAUGUGAUCUUUCAUGCGUUAGUAUAUUCGAAUAAUAUACAUAUGAGAGGUAUGCCUGUCCAGUAAAGAGAUUGAUUUGUUUGUAUGGCUCUGGAAUAACUCAUUCGUUUAUGAACACAUCUCAUGUAUUACUUGACACAGUACCUUUGGUAUGUCUGCUUUUCUUUCAAUCCUCAUUAUCUUUAGCCCUCAGCUGGCCAGUAAUUAUUGCUAAAGAAAGGGAGAUCAAUGGAGUUGCCUACCAGCACCCAUUCUCUUUUAGUUCAGCUGGCUAAUAGUAUUGGAAUACAUUGGGAAAAGAGUGGGUUAAAGUCCUAGGUGGGGUUCUCUUUGUUGCCUACCAGGAGGAAGCAGUAGGCUUCCUUUCUAAGAUACGGACUCAGCUGGUCUAUUUUACCCUGUGACAUUUAAAUAUACUUUUGAAUAAGCUACUAUCCUGAGGCUGAGGGUUUUGCUGCCACUUUUCCUGUGUUUCCACUUCUGCUUCCAAAGAUUUUCCUCUUAGUUGUUUGAAAUAAUACUUUGCCAGACAGGAAGUCUUUAGACUGCCCACAUUCAUGAAGAAGAUGAUGUGUGGCUGGAUCAGUAGGAGAAGCUGAGUGCAAAUGCCAUGUGGGCUAGAGUAUGGGAAGGUUGAAAAUUCCAAGUAACUGGGAGAAUGGGCAAGUCCUCAGCUGAACAAUCUUGGAUGUAGUCUAGCAGCAACCCACCUACAAUGGCGUUAUGUUUGGAGUUAUGAGGGGAAGUGAAAGAUAAGAAUUACCUACAGCUUUGUAUUCAGAUAAUUUAUAUCCAAAAUUUGUGUUUUAAAUUUCAUACUCCAGGACUUUCAUGUUUAUGAGUAUUAGCCUUUUAAGUUAUGGGAGGUGAUAUACUUAGUCCAUUGAUGUUGUCACUUGUCAUCUAAACUUAUGAGACCUUGUCUUAGAGAAUCUAAAAUAUAUUGUCAUAUGUUUUCUGUGCUGAGUUUGGUUUGUUACACUGUGAAGCUUUUGGUGAAACAAAAUAAGACUUAUGAAGUAAAAAGACCAAUCAUGUCGUUGA